GCGGGUGGAGGGGCGCGCUCGGCCCCCAGCCUCCUUCCGGCGCCCGCGACGCCCGAUUCGUCCCGGGUUUGCGGAGGCGCGGGCUGCGGCGCCCUGGGAAUGGGCCGUGGGCGGCCUGGGGGCGGCGAUCCGGCUCGGCGAGGAAGGUAGUGCGCGCCCCGCCGCCGCGGUCCUCGGACAGCCUGAGCUGGGGCGGCCUCAGCCUGGCUGGGAGGGACCCGUGAAGGGGCAGGAAAGUUUGCUGCCGCCAGAGUGGGGAAUCCAGCUCAGCCCUUCCUGGUGCAGGUCUCCGGGCUGGCAGUUUGAGAGCCAGCGGUCAGAGGGCAAGGCCAAUUCCCGCGUGGACGGUUGACGUCGAAACUCCUCCUGCCUUUUCUGUUUCAUAGUGGGUGAAAGAAGGAGGGACCUGCCUUUCUGAUUGCCCACCACUAAAUCCUAAGCUCCUUGAACACAGCCGCCGCAUCUUAUCCAUCAUUGUGUCCCCGUUCUUAACACAAAUGUUUGGAGAAUAAAUUAACGUGUGGAGUGAAGGUGGACCAUGUGACCACUGAGUAGAACUGUUCUCUUUCUUUAUGACAGAAAACGAGGCGUGCUGGAGAAUGAACCUGUGUGUACAGCUCGGUAUUAAUUACCCCCUCCCUUUUCCCCUUUGCUCCUUUGUGUCUCGGUAUGCCCGCUCGCUGGCAAUGGGCUGGGGAUACGAACAGCCAAGACUCAGCCCUCCGAUGGAGCGCUGUGUGCAAGACAACAGCUAACGGGGACUCCGGGCGUUCAGUGCAAUAGUCGGGUGCCUCAAUCGAGCCUCCAGAGAGAGCAGGCGGUCUAAGUCGAGUUUGAAGGGUGAAGAGGCGCUUAUUACUAGAAGGGCCCUCUACCCACACAGGUCCCUCUGCAUGGAUUUCCCCGUGACCCUGUUUACCUCCUGCUCGUUCUUGAGGCCUCGGGUGAAAUGUCACUUCCUUGGUGACCCACAUAAGGUCAUCCUGUUAAGCGAUCCUGUGGCCCGGCACACGCCUCAUGAUGAGCACAGCUGGGCACAGUUUGCCAUCUCUGUUCCACCGGAAGCUUCUUGAGACGGAAACUGGCAUUUCCGUGCGUGCGUAGAGUCUCGAUGUCCAGCACAGUGCCUGCCCCACCGUGUUCCCUAAAUAUGUGCUGAACCGAUGAGUAACCAGACUCUCAGGGAGAAGCCCAUUCCAGCAUUUUCUGUUGUGAAUGUGAGGCCAGACUGUGAGUACCACGUGGGAACAGAAUGACCUUUUAGAAUGUAUUAUUUUGUGGAACUGGGCAGCUCAGCGAUUUCAGAACCGUCUUCUGCAGAAUCAGUGUGAGGCUGGCGCUUCUCAGAAAGAGUUACCGUCGUGAGACAAGUUUGGGGAAGACAGGUAACCCAGGUUGCUUGUUUUCCAGGAGCCUCUAGUAACAUUUUGCAGCUGGGGAAUAUGGAUGAAGCUAAAUGAAAACUUGGCUGCACCACCCCCACCCCGGGCCCUGGGAGGUGAAGGGGCUGCUGUGGGGGGAGCUCCUGGAGAUUGAUUUGCGGGCAUGAAGGCUGGCUCCUGCCACCUGGCUUCUUUGUUACGACUUGGACUGAUUUGUUCCUUGAGUUUCGACAGGACAGAGAGAAUGGAGGAUGUGGUUGGAGAGGCGUCUGUGGCAUCGUGCUGUCUGAGCUGGAAUUCAGCUCUCUCUCCCACAUCUUAGCUGUGUGAUUUUGAGGCAGUCCUUUGCGUCUCUGUACCUCAGACGUUGCAUUUAUGAAUAGAAAUAGUGGUAUCUAACUUAGGAUGUUGAGACUUUACAAGCUCUCGUGUAUUUAGAAUUUUCCUGAUGGAUAUAAAUUUUAUUUAACUGCUAAUAAUUAAUUAAAAAUUAAAUAUCUGACCUCUAAUAGGUUAAUUGAAGUAAUUAAGUCUCCUGGCGGUGGAGCAAGAUCACGGAGGACCACGGCCUAAGGGAGGAAUUUUUCUCUGCUUGCUGCCUUCUUAGCUCAGGUGAAAUGUUCUGAGCAUUCAUCAUUACUUUUCCAGCUAGAAGGAUUCUAAUUCUGUAAUAGCGUUUGCUGAGCUCUCCCUCCAAGUAAAUUUAAAUUGUGAUGUCAUUAUACUCUAUUCUCAAACAGAGGAGUGGAACAGAAGUUUUGCCUACAAUCAAUUUUCCAGGACUGACUGAGUAGCCAAGUGCUAAGUUUCUCCGCAACAGGACUAGGAUCCAGAAGUCCGUGUUAUUUGAAACAAUAGAGAUGUGCCUACAAUGAAAAUGUGAAUAAGAUCUCGUCUCAUUUGUUGUAGCUUAAUUUGACCAUGAAAACAUCAAUACUGGAUUCUCAGAGAAGAAAACAUUUCAGGGCCUGUAUGUUAGACCACGGUGUGAAAAUUCACAUUGUUUUAACAGUGCACUUCGACUUCCCAGCAUAAAAGAAAGCUGCUUCUGGAAACUCAAAGAUGGAGAGCCCUGCGAUGUCUUUCCUACAACUCAGGCAGGACAGAAGGAGCCAGCAGCCACUUGCCAGGAGCUAUGACUCAUCCUUGUGUUGCUUUUCCAUCCUUCUCUGCUCCAUUCUCCUCGUCCCUCCUCCUCUCUGGAUCACACCCCACGGUAAAGUGUUCGCGCUCCAGCCUUUGUCCUGGGAUCCGCUGUCUGGGAGACCCAGGCGAAGUCAUUUCGGCAUUAUUUUUUAGCAAAUGGAGUGAUCGUGUUUACACGACUUCAUACACACAACUACCCCGUCCCACUGCGAGUGAUCCAUCCAGUUAUUUUGUGAGACGGUUCAUGGCAAAGCCUCUCUCCUUCCUCUGGAUGUGGCGGGGCUUAGGGUGGUGAAUCGUGGCUGCCGCUGCUUCGGCCACAGCGGGACCAGGGGGCAGUUUGCCAUUGGCAUCUGGCAACUGGUCAGCAGCCUUGGCCCUGUGCUUUCAUCUGCUAACUUUAACCUGGCUCUGUUUAAUUUUUCCAAUCUGUAUUUUUAACUUCCUCCUAAGUUUCUCAUUUGCUCAUUUUAUCCUGCUCUAUUUAUGGAUUUGAAGAGUAUAAAUAAGCAAAGAUUAGUGUGAGUAGGUCUUUAAAAAAAAAAAUCAUAUGGCCCCCAUGUCCCAGAGUCACGUAUCAUGCUCUUACCAUGUGACAAAGCUUUGAAAAUGAAAAGAAAAUCAUUUUUUUUAAAGUAACAGUGGGAAAACUUUAUUGUCUUCAUUUGGAGACCUAAUUUAUUGAACUCAUUUAAUCACAAAUAAGCCUCUGGAUUCGUAUCUGCCCCCUGCUAGGGACCAGCCAUAUUGGUACAGUUUUUAUGGGUGCCGUGCUCAGGGGCAUGCCCGACAUCACAGCCAAAGGAAGAGACCAAGUUUUGCGUGCUCCGCCCCCCCGCUCCCGCCAUGGAGACGGAAGUGUGAAACCUGAGGGGUGCAUUUGAGUUCCGAAAGCGGCAUGUUCCGCACAUGGGAAAACUGCUUCAACCAGAAUACCAUUCAAAGGUUAACAGGUCUGAGAAAGGACCAGAAAAAGGAAAGGUUCUUCAUCAGGUCUGGGUUGUGGUACUACCACUCGGGCCAAAGAAGCCAAAUGGGCUUCUGGUAGUAGAGGGAUCAGUGCUGGGAACAGAGGCCAUGUGGAGUUCUUGGCAAGCCCCAAUGGAAAAAUCACAGUGCAGACCUCCAGGAUUCUGGAGCCUGGCUGUGCCAUUGGCAGCAGAGAACUCUACAACUUUCUAACAAUGACUCUUACGUGCUAUGGGGAACCAGUAGAGAGAGAGUGCUCCUAACCAUGGACACCACCUAACCAUGUGGCCAAAGCAGCCCAUCGCAACUGGGUUCUCUCAGAACCACCACAUCAUGUCAUGGGGUAGGCCAAGGAACGAUUCCCUGUAAGACUGGAUUGGUGCUUCUGGAAUUAAGCACAAGAAGGACUAGGGGACACGGCCAAGCAGCACAGGGGCUCCAUGUCACCCACCGUUACUGGGCCAGCACCUCCCCGUCAGCUCACACCUAUGACCAUAUGGAGGAUCCUUUAUGAUUGAAGUCGGUUGAAGAGGAAGGGUCUCAGGCUUGCUGGUGGACCAGCUCUGUAUGGUGCAAGCUGAAAACAGUGACUGCACCACGGCCCCAUUCAAGGGUGGCCUUGAACAACAGUGGUGAGGGAAAGGUUCGGGUGGUAUCCCCGGUCAUCUACUUUGUGUUGAAAAAGAAGCAGCCUGAGACUUGUGGGCUGUAGCAAAUGGCUUGACCGAAUGGGCAGGGGCCUAGAAGGAGAAAAUGGGCAAAUUAGCAACCAGGAGGUCUGGGGUAGACAUUGCAUGGACCUGUAAGAGGGCGUACUGUGGGAUCUUUGUAUCGCGUUCACAAGAGGGAGGCACUAAGCACGCAGAGAGACGAAAUGACGGACCAGUUAACGGCACCCAGCCUCUGUCAUCAGCCACUUCUAGUAUCGGCACAACUACACAUGAAUAGAAGAGCCACGGAGGCAGGAGUAGAGGCUACGCGUGGGCCCACUAGCCUGGACUUCCACUUACCCAAGGUUUUCUAGCUCAUGCUGCUGCCAGAUGGCUAGUAUUCCAGUAGCAGAGAGCGAUCCUGAGUUCCCGAUACAGCACCACCCCUUAAGGAGACCAACCUGACACUCUGGCGGGCUGCCUACACUGGACAUCUUCCAACAUGGAAGAAACAGCAAUUCAUUUGAACAUGAAUGGACACAUAUUCUGGAUAUGGAUUUUAUAUUUCCUGCUCUUAGGCCUCAGGUAGCACCACUAUCCAAGGCUUAAACGGUGUUAUGUCCACCGUCAUGGAAUCCAAUAUAACAUCACCUCAGACCAAAGAACACAUUUUUUCAGCAAAGGAGUUGCUGGCAUGAGCGCAUGACUCCACUGUUCUGUCUCACACUAUACAGCUCGAAGCUGCCAGCCAGAGCAGAGCGUAUACAGACCUGUUGAAAGCUGGCCUGAUGUGCCGGCUCAAAGACGAUCCUUCUUUGGGUGGAGCGCCAUUCUUCGGGAUGGAGGAGACCUUAAAUCAAAGACCUUUAAAUGCCACUGUGCUCACAAUGGGUAGAAUGCAGGAGUCCAGGAACCAAGGAGUAGAAGCAGAAGGGUCCUACUGACCCUCACUCCCAGCGACCUACUUGAAGAACUUGGACUUUUUAUCCUCACAAAAUUGAGCUCUGUGAAUUCCGAGGUUCUGGUUCCUAAAGGGGAGGAUACUUCUGACAGGAGACACAGUGAUUGCCUCUUUGAACUAUUAGUGUGGCCAAUUCAUGGGCAAUUCUAGCUCCUUGCACCAAGAAGCCAACAGGCAAGAAGAAAAGUCACUGUCUUAGAAGGGAUCAUUGAACCUGGUCAUCAGGAACAGUUCCCACUAGGAACAGAAGCUCAUUGGUGUCUUGAGGAGCUUUCCCCAGAACCUCUAAGAAGAGAAGAAUCCAAGUGCUGUAAGGGGUGGACUGUCAUGGAUGCUUCGAUACACUGUCCAGAUUCCUACUCAGGAAGAUUCCUAUUCAGGAAGAUUCCUAUUCAGGAAUGAAGGUCUUGUUUGCCAGCUGCUGGGAGUUCUGUGAGAAGAUGGCCCUUCACUCUUAGCCUGGGGGGUUUGCCUCCUGUAAGGAAGACUGCCUGGUCAUCUGAAGAUCACACCACCUCCCAGGGACAACCUGCAUUAAAUGCCCCUCUUCCCCUAAUUUGGGACAGCUCUAGAAGGCUACUUCCGGUCCAGAGCUCCAUGUGGGUUGGCUGAUGCUUUCACUGAGUCUGCACUAUGUCUCACCUUCUCCCUCUGUUAAUCCUCCCCCUUCCCAGUUGAUCCCAAGAGCACUCCUUAAUAAACAGCUUCCUGGGAACAUGACCCAUAGCAGCAGUAAAACUUGGGUUAUUACCAGAUGAAAUAGUUUGUGUUCGAAGCCUGGGGAGCCCUGUGAAUAAAGAAACUUCAGUUAUACAAAGUAGUCGGUUUUAUUAAUACCAAACCAUAAUUAUGAGUCUCUUGCUAGUUGCCAGUUGAUUUUGAUCAAACGUACAUAUAUGUAGAAAAGUGAACUUUUUGUGAGAAUUCCUAAGUACAUUCAAUCUGGGCAUAUCUCACUUCAGAUGCCAGAUUUCCCACUCUGAUUUCAGUUCGCUGUUUGGAUUUUAGCCAUUUUGUACGAGAGAAUGCAUUUCCCCAGAGCUAAGUAGUUGCAGACAUUCC